rnacentral:rRNA from 1 species
AACGAACGCUGGCGGCAGGCUUAACACAUGCAAGUCGAACGCCCCGCAAGGGGAGUGGCGCACGGGUGAGUAACGCGUGGGAAUAUGCCCUUCGGUUCGGAAUAACACAGGGAAACUUGUGCUAAUACCGGAUACGAUCUACGGAUGAAAGAUUCAUCGCCGAGGGAGUAGCCCGCGUCAGGUUAGCGCGUUGGUGGGGUAAUGGCCUACCAAGGCGACGAUCUGUAGCUGGUCUGAGAGGAUGAUCAGCCACACUGGGACUGAGACACGGCCCAGACUCCUACGGGAGGCAGCAGUGGGGAAUAUUUGAGAAUGGGGGAAACCCUGAUCCAGCCAUGCCGCGUGAGUGAUGAAGGCCUUAGGGUUGUAAAGCUCUUUCGUCGGGGAAGAUAAUGACGGUACCCGAAGAAGAAGCCUCGGCUAACUCCGUGCCAGCCGCCGCGGUAACAC